ACGAAUUGUAAUGGGGGCUGAUGCUGGUAGCCGAUCUCGUUGGCUGCAUGUGCUCGCUACCAACAAUCUAUAUCCAAACACCUGUGCACCUUUUGAGGGUUUUCCGUGUUCAUCACUGUGUUUUGCCAGUGGUUUUCUUCGGAUUUCCCUUCUUCACAUAUAUACGCUUCUUGACAAUGUUGAACGUGUUUGUGCCGUUAAGGCCUUAAUAACAUA
rnacentral:misc_RNA from 1 species